rnacentral:rRNA from 1 species
UGGGGAAUCUUCCGCAAUGGACGAAAGUCUGACGGAGCAACGCCGCGUGAGUGAUGACGGCCUUCGGGUUGUAAAGCUCUGUUAAUCGGGACGAAUGGUUCUUGUGCGAAUAGUGCAAGGAUUUGACGGUACCGGAAUAGAAAGCCACGGCUAACUACGUGCCAGCAGCCGUGGUAAUACGUAGGUGGCAAGCGUUGUACGGAAUUAUUGGGCGUAAAGCGCGCGCAGGCGGAUUGGUCAGUCUGUCUUAAAAGUUCGGGGCUUAACCCCGUGAUGGGAUGGAAACUGCCAAUCUAGAGUAUCGGAGAGGAAAGUGGAAUUCCUAGUGUAGCGGUGAAAUGCGUAGAUAUUAGGAAGAACACCAGUGGCGAAGGCGACUUUCUGGACGAAAACUGACGCUGAGGCGCGAAAGCCAGGGGAGCGAACGGG